rnacentral:miRNA from 1 species
UCCAUGUUAGGAGUGGCUGCAUAUGGCAUCUGUUCCUCAUGUCAGAGGUAGUCAUUUCUUUUUGGAGC